rnacentral:tRNA from 1 species
GGGGCUGGGGCUCAGUGAUAGAGCGCUCGCCUGGAACGCGUGGGACACUGGGUUCGAUCCUCAGCACCA